UUUUUUUUUUAAGGGCUGCACCCACAGCAUGUGGAAGUUCCCAGGCUAGGAGUUAAAUUGGAGCUGCAGCUCCCAGCCUACACCACAGCCAUAGCAAUACCAGAUCUGAGCCGCAUCUGUGCUACACCACAGCUCACAGCCAUGCCAGAUCCAACCCACUGAGCAGGGCUAGGGAUCGAACCCGAGUCCUCAUGGAUACUAGUGGCAUUUGUAACCCACUGGGCCACAAAGAGAACUCCCAACUGCUGAUGACUCAGGCAAGAAUAAAACCCUCCUUGACCAGAAAGAUGUAGGAUCUUGAGGUCAUUGAGAAAAUGUGUCAUAGCCACAUUGCAGAAAUUAAAGGCCAAACUGCCAAUAACCAACAUGCCUAAUAUGUGAUUUCUACACUGGGGUUUUCUCAAGUACAGUCAAGUACAUUUACAUUCUGGCUUUCCCUCUCAUCAUAGUACUUGUGGUCAUUUCUCUAAGUACUCUCAGGGAAGUCGCAUCAGCCCUGGCCAAUAACGUUGUAAUGAGCCUUCUCAAGCCUGUUCUCAACACUAGCACACCCACAACAAUAUGGGGACAUCCAGAAAUGAACGCUGUCUUUUGAUAUAAGCCAACUCCACUCCCCAGGACCCCACUCCAGGCAAAGAGGAAAGGGGAGGAGCCGGAUGCUCUAAAGCCCCUGUCUUUCCCUUGCUUUAGGUCUGCAGAUCCUUCUCCUGUUCUGUCCUGAUGCUUCUCAGGGCAUGUAAGGUCCUCCUUGCUGCCUUGUAAGUAGGAUAGUAAUGCUUGUGCCUUGGAAACCUCCUCCAUCUGCAGCCUAUAUGCCUCCAUCCUUCAUGUGCCAAACAGGCCCCAGAUAUCUCCCCACUACCAGCUCCUCGGGCAUCAAGAGCCUGAAAACAUCCUAUUGAAAUCUUCUGAGUAUCUGUAUUGGGAAUGCAGUGGCAGCUCCUGGAGGAUUUGCGGAAUUACCUUUUUUUUAAAAAAAAACUGGUUGGUAGAGUUCAUGUUGUGCCUCAGUGGGUUAAGGACCUAACGUAAUCUCCUUGAGGAUGCCGGUUUGAUCCUUGGCUUUGCUCAGUGGGUUAAGGAUGGUUAAGGAUCCAUCAUUGCAGCAAGGUGCAGAAUAAGGCACAGAUUAUGGCUCACAUCCAGUUUUGCCUUGGCUGUGGCUGUGGUGUGGGCCAGCAGCUGCAUCUCCAAUUCUACCCCUAACCUGAGAACUUCCCUAUGCUAUGAAUGUGGCCGUAAAAAGAAAAGAAAAAAAAUGGUUAGGGAGUUCCCUGGUGGUCUAGCGGUUAGCGAUCUGGCAUUGUCACUGUUGUGGCUUGGGUUCAAUCCUUGGCCCGGGAACCUCUGUAGGCUGUGAGCGUGGCUGGAAAAAAAACAGUUGGUUUCUGAU
rnacentral:lncRNA from 1 species